rnacentral:snRNA from 1 species
AUACCUACAUGGCAGGGGAGAUAUGAUCGCCAUUUCCCAGGGCGAGGCUUACCCAUUGCACUCUGAAUGUGUGGACCCGUGUGAUUUCUCCGAGUGUGGGAAACUCAGCUGCAUAAUUUUUGGAAGUGGGGGAUUAUACUUGAUCUCUCCCA